UGGGGAAUUUGACAAUGGGCGAAAGCCUGAUCCAGCAAUGCCGCGUGUGUGAAGAAGGCCUUCGGGUUGUAAAGCACUUUUGUCCGGAAAGAAAAUCCUUGGCUCUAAUUACAGUCGGGGGAUGACGGUACCGGAAGAAUAAGCACCGGCUAACUACGUGCCAGCAGCCGCGGUAAUACGUAGGGUGCAAGCGUUAAUCGGAAUUACUGGGCGUAAAGCGUGCGCAGGCGGUUUGCUAAGACCGAUGUGAAAAUCCCCGGGCUCAACCUGGGAACUGCAUUGGUGACUGGCAGGCUAGAGUAUGGCAGAGGGGGGUAGAAUUCCACGUGUAGCAGUGAAAAUGCGUAGAGAUGUGGAGGAAUACCGAUGGCGAAGGCAGCCCCCUGGGCCAAUACUGACGCUCAUGCACGAAAGCGUGGGGAGCAAACAGGAUUAGGAUAACCCUGGUAGUCCACGCCCUAAAACGAUGUCAACUA
rnacentral:rRNA from 1 species